UAAUACGAAGGGUGCUAGCGUUGUUCGGAAUUACUGGGCGUAAAGCGCGCGUAGGCGGUGAUGCAAGUCAGGGGUGAAAUCCCGGAGCUUAACUCCGGAACUGCCUUUGAAACUGCAUUGCUGGAGUGUGUGAGGGGAUAGCGGAAUUCCUAAUGUAGAGGUGAAAUUCGUAGAUAUUAGGAGGAACACCGGUGGCGAAGGCGGCUAUCUGGCACACAACUGACGCUGAGGCGCGAAAGCGUGGGGAUCAAACAGGAUUAGAUACCCUGGUAGUCCACGCCGUAAACGAUGAGUGCUAGCCGUUGGGUCCGUAGGACUCAGUGGCGCCGCUAACGCAUUAAGCACUCCGCCUGGGGAGUACGGUCGCAAGAUUA
rnacentral:rRNA from 1 species